rnacentral:rRNA from 1 species
AGAGUUUGAUCCUGGCUCAGGAUGAACGCUAGCGGCAGGCUUAACACAUGCAAGUCGAGGGGCAGUCCCGCUUUCGGGUGGGAGCGACCGGCGCACGGGUGAGUAACGCGUAUGCAACCUUCCUUUAACUGGGGAAUAGCCCGGAGAAAUUCGGAUUAAUACCCCAUAAUAUUCCGAAAAUGCAUAUUUUCGGAAUUAAAGCUCCGGCGGUUAAAGAUGGGCAUGCGUACCAUUAGUUUGUUGGUGAGGUAACGGCUCACCAAGACAACGAUGGUUAGGGGGUCUGAGAGGAUGAUCCCCCACACUGGUACUGAGACACGGACCAGACUCCUACGGGAGGCAGCAGUGAGGAAUAUUGGGCAAUGGGCGCAAGCCUGACCCAGCCAUGCCGCGUGAAGGAUGAAUGCCCUACGGGUUGUAAACUUCUUUUAUACGGGACGAAACUUCUGAUCGUGAUCAGAACUGACUGUACCGUACGAAUAAGCAUCGGCUAACUCCGUGCCAGCAGCCGCGGUAAUACGGAGGAUGCAAGCGUUAUCCGGAUUUAUUGGGUUUAAAGGGUGCUAGGCGGAAUAAUAAGUCAGUGGUGAAAGCCUGCGGCUCAACCGUAGAAAUGCCAUUGAUACUGUUAUUCUUGAGUAUAGUUGAGGUGGGCGGAAUGUGUAAUGUAGCGGUGAAAUGCAUAGAUAUUACACAGAACACCAAUUGCGAAGGCAGCUCACUAAACUGUCACUGACGCUGAGGCACGAAAGCGUGGGGAGCAAACAGGAUUAGAUACCCUGGUAGUCCACGCCGUAAACUAUGAUCACUCGUUGUUGGCAAUACAUCGUCAGCGACUGAGCGAAAGCAUUAAGUGAUCCACCUGGGGAGUACGGCGGCAACGCUGAAACUCAAAGGAAUUGACGGGGGCCCGCACAAGCGGAGGAACAUGUGGUUUAAUUCGAUGAUACGCGAGGAACCUUACCUGGGCUUGAAAGGGGAAUGACCUCCCGGGGGGAUUCUCUUCGGAGCGUUCUCCUAGGUGCUGCAUGGUUGUCGUCAGCUCGUGCCGUGAGGUGUCGGGUUAAGUCCCAUAACGAGCGCAACCCCUAUUGUUAGUUGCCAGCGGGUAAUGCCGGGAACUCUAACGAAACUGCCGGUGUAAACCGAGAGGAAGGUGGGGAUGACGUCAAAUCAGCACGGCCCUUAUGUCCAGGGCUACACACGUGUUACAAUGGUCGGUACAAAGGGCAGCUACUUGGUAACAAGAUGCUAAUCUCCAAAACCGGUCUCAGUUAGGAUCGAAGUCUGCAACUCGACUUCGUGAAGCUGGAUUCGCUAGUAAUCGCGCAUCAGCAACGGCGCGGUGAAUACGUCCA